UGGGGGAUAUUGCACAAUGGGGGGAACCCUGAUGCAGCGACGCCGCGUGAGUGAAGAAGUAUCUCGGUAUGUAAAGCUCUAUCAGCAGGGAAGAAGCAAGACGGUACCUGACUAAGAAGCCCCGGCUAACUACGUGCCAGCAGCCGCGGUAAUACGUAGGGGGCGAGCGUUAUCCGGAUUUACUGGGUGUAAAGGGAGCGUAGACGGCAUGGCAAGUCUGGAGUGAAAGCCCGGGGCCCAACCCCGGGACUGCUCUGGAAACUGCCAUGCUAGAGUGCUGGAGAGGUAAGUGGAAUUCCUAGUGUAGCGGUGAAAUGCGUAGAUAUUAGGAGGAACACCAGUGGCGAAGGCGGCUUACUGGACAGUGACUGACGUUGAGGCUCGAAAGCGUGGGGAGCAAACA
rnacentral:rRNA from 1 species